UUAUUAGAUAUUUAAUAUUAUUAUUAUUUAAUUUUAUUAUUAUAGAAAUAACUUUUGUUUUAGUAAUAUUUAAUGAAUAAAUGUUUAUUGUAUUUAUAGUUUAAUUUACUGUAAAGGUUAAUAUUUAUUAUAUUAUAAGUAGAAUGUUAAUUUGUACCUUUUGUAUCAGGGUUUAUUAACUUUUAAUUAUUUAAUAUAAUUAUCCCGAAUUUAAAAGAUAUAUUUAUAAUUGUUAGUUAAUGUUUCAUAAUUAUUGAUAAAUUAUAGAUAGGUGUUAUAUGCAAUUCAUUUUUAAAUAUCUGGUUUUUUAAUAAUUGAAUUAAAUUCAGGAUUAAUAGUUUUAAUUAAUAAGUGAAUUUUAAUUAAACUUAUUAUUAAUCAAAAAUAUAAAGGGAUAAGCUUUUAUAUUUUCUAUAAUUGUAAAUAUAUAAAUAAAAUUUAGUAGGAUUAGAAAUUUUCAUCUUUUAUUUUGUUAUAAUAAUUUUUUAUGUAUAAUUUAUUUAUUUGGAAUUUAGGUAUAUAUUAAGAUUUAUUAAGGAAUUUUUAAUUAAUAGUAAUAAUGAUAGAAUUAGUAAAUUGUUAAUUUAAUGUAUAGUAACUUGGCAAAAUUAUUCUUCACCUGUUUAUCAAAAACAUGUCUUAAUGCCAUUUUUAUUAAGUCUAACCUGCUCAAUGAUAAUUAUUAAAUAGCCGCAGUAUUUUGACUGUGCGAAGGUAGCAUAAUCAUUUGUCUUUUAAUUGAAGGCUUGAAUGAAUGGUUGGAUGAGGGAAUAUCUUUCUUUACAUUAUUAAAUUGAAAUUAAUUUUUUUGUUAAAAAGCGAAAAUUAAUGAAUGGGACGAGAAGACCCUAUAGAAUUUUACUUUUUAUAUGGGUUAUAUUAGAUAUGGUUAUUAUCUAUAUAUUUAUAGAAGGAAGUUUUGUUGGGGUGACAUUAAGAUUAAUAAAACUCUUAUACUUUAAAUUUUAUUGAUUUAUAUAUUUAUAGAUCCUAUAUUAUGGAUAACUAGAUUAAAUUACCUUAGGGAUAACAGCGUAAUUCUUUUGGAGAGUUCUUAUUGAUAAAAGAGUUUGCGACCUCGAUGUUGGAUUAAAAUAAGAAUUAAGUGCAGAAGCUUAAUUUCUAAGUCUGUUCGACUUUUAAAUUUUUACAUGAUCUGAGUUCAGACCGGCGUGAGCCAGGUCGGUUUCUAUCUUUUCAUCUUUGAUUGUAUAUUAAUUAGUACGAAAGGACCAUUAGUGUCAAAUAUUUUGUUAAUUUAUUGAAUUCUUUUAAAAU
rnacentral:rRNA from 1 species